rnacentral:lncRNA from 1 species
AUGGACCAGAACUCCUCUGACCUCCAGAGCAAAGAGACAGCAGCUCCCAGCAGCAGGCAAAAUGAAAUGCAAGACUCUCUGAAAGUGACCUUGAGCCUCCUAGAUGCCACCCAAGGUCAGAAGACUAACACGCAAACUCCUUUGCCCAUCAUCCACAUUCGCAAAUUAAGCAACGUGGAACCGUCAACGUCCACACCUAUGUCCCGAAGGGUUAGCAUCCAGGAACCACCAGCAUCUGUCUUUCUCCCUCGCAGGGUUAGUACACUGAGUUCAUCAUCCCCAUCCACCAUUCUCCCUCGAAGGUUAAGUACUCAAGAGACCCUUCUUCAGGGUUCCCAGUCCAAUGUACAAGACAUACAGUCUGUGGCCUACAAUCGAUGGCUCAGUUCCAGAGAGUCUGCUUCCCUUAACCAUAAUCGCCGGCUCAGCAUCCUAAGCGCUCAUACCCUGUCCAGUGCCCAGUCAGAAAUUCGCAGCUCACAAACGGAAACUGAAAGCCACCCCUCCAUACCCCAGUCAUAUAGCCCCAACAGAAAACAAAUGCGGCCCAGUGUGGAUGUCCCCCCGUCCAUAACCCAGAGCCCACAGGCCAGCAUCAGAAGUUUCGAGUCCUUUGUCUGGGACUCCAAGGACAGCUUGAAAGAGUUCUCAGAUGACUCUUUGUCUAAUCACAGUAUGCUAGGCAGCACCUCAAAACUGUCCAACAUUUCUACUAUAAUGAACUCUAGUAGGGCUCAGAGCAAAUGCUGGACACUGCUUCCCAUAGGCUGGAGGCUGUUGCUCGAAGCCAAGAAGAUCAGCAGGCACCUUAGCCUGGUGCUGACUGUGGCCGGCAUGGUGAUGCUCAGCCUCAUCGCCUUGUGGAAGCCCUGGAUCCACUUCCAAGUGCCUCUAGGACCCCCAGGCGACCCCGCUGGCCCCCAAACCAUCUCCAUUGAUACCAUCUUCUUCAUGCGGUGCCCUGACAUCUCCUGCAUGAAUGAAUACGAUAAGAAUGCAUAUUUGCUGGACAUGGCCUGGGCCUGCAUCCUCAUCUCCGGUGUCAUGAGUUUCUGUGUAUUCAUGGGUCUCAUCAGCACUAUCUUCUUCCCUAGCACUAACCUGCCCUUGAUGGACUUCUCUCUCUUCAUCUGCAGCCUCUUGACCGCCUCUUCACAAAUCUCAACACCCAACUUGGCCUCAAGUCUCAUUCCCCUCCAUGACUGUCUCAAGGCCAACCCGACCCUGGCCUUCUGAGAAGCUCAGCCUCAUCCUCAGUCCCAGUCCACCCUGAGUUUCACCUCCUUCUUGGCCCACACUCCAACCUACCAGCUGGGCACUUCCCUCUGAAACUCAUCCCAAGCAAUUCAACCAAAACCCAAGGACACCUUCCACCUAUUCUCAUCGCCAGCGCUUCCUGGACCCCAACCUCCAAACACAGCUCCAUGUGGACUUCUGUCCCAGUUUUCCUCAAGCUACUUCAUCUCUCCAAGUGGAACUUUUCAUUUUUCUGUUUUAAAAAACUGGGUCUCGUAUAGCUGAGGCUGACCUUGAUCUUCAUAUAUAUGCAGCCAACUGUGUCCAUAAACUUCUGCUCCUCCUGUGCUGAGAUAAUAGGCGUGUGCUUGUCAUGCCAUGUUUAUGUGGUACUGGGCAUGGAAUCCAGGGAUUUGUGCAUGCUAGGCAAGUACUCUACCAACUGAGCUGCAUCUUGGCCCCUUGGAGAUAAUAUUUUCUGCCGUGUGAAAAAUAUAGGGAGUGUUCAAUUAGAAAAUGUUAACUUGGUUACUUCUGUCACCACAUUGAGUGCCAUGGUUGGUUCAGCACUAAUCUGACUAGCUAGGCAAGCAUCCUCUUCCUCCUUCCCCCCUCUGGUGUGUGUCCCUCCUUACCCAGGAGAUAAGGUCAGUUCUUUGGUCAAGGUCAUAUAAAUAACUGAAAAUCCCCUGCUAAAACCUCUAGACAAGUUUCUUGGGUCCAUCCAAAGCACAUAGGGUAGUGAUAGGUCUAAGACUCUGGACAUAUGCAAACGAGAUACUCUAUGUGGUCUCCCUUCAAAGAAGUCAUGAAUGGUGGCACAGGUCUAACAUCCCAGCAUUCAGGAAGCUGAGGUUUGAAGAUAGCACUUCAUGCUAGUUUGAUAACUAACACUCACUGAGAUAAUCUCUCAGCCUCUCCCAAGCAAUUCAAAACUAACAUGCUGACUAGAACAUCUCAUGUCCACACACAUACCCAGAUUGGGAGAGGUUGAGGACAU